AUACGGAGGGUGCAAGCGUUACUGGGAAUCACUGGGCGUAAAGCGCGCGCAGGCGGCUAUUUAAGUUGGAUGUGAAAGCCUACGGCUCAACCGUAGAACUGCAUCCAAAACUAUUUAGCUAGAGUGUGGGAGAGGAAGAUGGAAUUAGUUGUGUAGGGGUAAAAUCCGUAGAGAUAACUAGGAAUACCAAAAGCGAAGGCAAUCUGCUGGAACACUACUGACGCUGAGGCGCGAAAGCGUGGGGAGCAAACAGGAUUAGAAACCCUUGUAGUCC
rnacentral:rRNA from 1 species